GCUCUUCAGCGGUCAACGAAAUCGGCGCAUACAUCGAGCGACACAGAUUUCAGCUCCCGGAACCACACGUGGACGCCUGCACCAGCGGUCACAUCAACCCCUCCUGUCCCAUGCGCAAGGGCAACGUGUACACCUACCGCUACACGCUGCCGGUCCGGGAGAUCUAUCCUGCGACGCCAGCGACAAUUGAAUACAAGCUGGUCACUCGAGAAGGUAAGGUCAUUGGGUGCAGCCACGUUCCUGUCGUGAUCUUCAGAUGAUGGGAGAUGGUUUCACCAAAUAUUCAACGCAGUGAAGUUCACGAAGGUAUUAUGACCGCCGUCGUUUGAAUAAAUAUGAAUGUAGUCAAAACCCGA